rnacentral:lncRNA from 1 species
UCCCUUUUUCUGUCUCUAAGUCUCUCUCUGUGAGGGGAGGAAGAUUAGUGCAUAAUUCAUGAUGAACUCUCCAGUUAAUCUGGCCCCUUCUCUCUCUUUCUCGAUGGUCCUUCUCUCUCUAGAUUUGGAGAAUGAUUCUUGUGAAUAUUUAGGGCAAAAAUAAGGUGUCUCUUUUUCUCUGGUACUUCUCUCUUUUUGUGAAGAUUUGGAGCAUGGUGUGUGAAUAUUUUGGGCAAGAAAACAAGUUUUAUGAGGGGAUUAAAAGAUGGAGUGAUUCUUUCUCUGUGCUUGUUAUGAUUUCAUGGUUCUUUCUCUGUGCUUAUUCCUUUUUUAGAUAAAUUGCCCUAAUUUUUUAGGGUUUUAGCGUUUUGGAAGAAGAGAGAUAAAAAGGAGUCGUCAUAAUUUUUUAGGGUUUUGGAAAAAAAAUAAGUAAGAGGAAAAGGAG